rnacentral:rRNA from 1 species
UACGGGGGGAGCAAGCGUUGUUCGGAUUUACUGGGCGUAAAGGGCGCGUAGGCGGUCAGCACAAGUCAGCUGUGAAAUCUCCGGGCUUAACUCGGAAAGGUCAACUGAUACUGUGCGACUAGAGUGCGGAAGGGGCAACUGGAAUUCUCGGUGUAGCGGUGAAAUUCGUAGAUAUUGGGAAGAACACCGGUGGCGAAGGCGGCGCUCUGGACCGAGACUGACGCUGAGGCGCGAAAGCGUGGGGAGCAAACAGG